rnacentral:lncRNA from 10 species
UCCCCCUGCCCCAAAUCUAUGUCUCCCAUCUCCUUGAACGUCACAACCAUCUGCCAGUUACUCAACAGGAAAGCACAGAAUAAAUGCCGACUCCUCCUCAGCUAGUUCUGCCUCCUUAGUCCUGAAGCCAACCCCUGCUCUGCCCCUGCUUGGACUGUAGCAAAGGCCCUCCUGCCUCUGGCUUUGCCCAUCCAUAGAUCCAUCCUUCAAACUGGCACCUGAGUCACCUCUUUUUAGGCCAGCCUGGCUGAGUCACUUACUUGCUAAAACCACUGAGGACUCCCAAGUCUGUACUGCUCAUUCUGGCACUUGAGGCCCUUCCCGAGUUCUUCCCGGGCCUCCUCAUUUCCAAUCAUCCCCCUGCCAGGCACACAGUUCCAGCCCAAGCCUUGUGUGCUGCUCCUCCCAACCUGCCACUCACUGGCCUGCCCUGGAACCGGAGACUCCAUGCUCCUUGGACACCCAGCUCCCUUCCACACUCAAAGGCCCUCUCUGCAAUUGCAGGUUAUAGGAAGAAAGAUGAGAAAAAAGGCGACACUUUUACCGGAAAUUAGCCCUUAAAUUACUGGGGUCCAACUCCUGCCUCCAGAGCCUUGCAGAAUGAGUCUGUUUUUUCUUCUAGCGACAGCCUUUCAAAUUUCUUUCAAGGGUUGCUGUAUUUAGUGGAUGACUACCAUUUCCCAUCCUUCCUGAAUCCCAAUUAAUAACCUCACGAUGAAAAGAGUCUUCAAAGCCAGAGAUAUCAUUUUCAUGGACUCAACCGCAAAUUCAGAGGGAGGUGGUUUUACUCAGCUGGAAGAAGGCACUAACGAUACAUCUGAUAUGUAAGAGGAAAUGAAACAAUGAGAAAUGGUAUCUUUGCUGGAGAUAAUUCCAAUUAUCAUGUUGAGAUCCAAGCCAUCACAAAUAUGUAAGAUCCUGUUUUUACUUAAUAGCAUUUUAAUGGAAAUGUCGGGCUUAUGAAAUAAAAGUGACUGGUAAAGAAAAUAUAAAUCAAGCUGACUAGUCCUUUGGGAUAAUUUUUUUAAAACUGAAUUUGUUAUAUCCUUGAUUCAUU